GUGCCAGCAGCCGCGGUAAUACGGAGGGUGCGAGCGUUAAUCGGAAUUACUGGGCGUAAGCGCAUGCAGGUGGUUUGUUAAGUCAGAUGUGAAACCCGGGGCUCAACCUCGGAAUAGCAUUUGAAACUGGCAGACUAGAGUACUGUAGAGGGGGGUAGAAUUUCAGGUGUAGCGGUGAAAUGCGUAGAGAUCUGAAGGAAUACCGGUGGCGAAGGCGGCCCCCUGGACAGAUACUGACACUCAGAUGCGAAAGCGUGGGGAGCAAACAGGAUUAGAUACCCUGGUAGUCCACGCCGUAAACGAUGUCUACUUGGAGGUUGUGGCCUUGAGCCGUGGCUUUCGGAGCUAACGCGUUAAGUAGACCGCCUGGGGAGUACGGUCGCAAGAUUAAAACUCAAAUGAAUUGACGGGGGCCCGCACAAGCGGUGGAGCAUGUGGUUUAAUUCGAUGCAACGCGAAGAACCUUACCUACUCUUGACAUCCAGAGAACUUUCCAGAGAUGGAUUGGUGCCUUCGGGAACUCUGAGACAGGUGCUGCAUGGCUGUCGUCAGCUCGUGUUGUGAAAUGUUGGGUUAAGUCCCGCAACGAGCGCAACCCU
rnacentral:rRNA from 1 species